CCUGUCAUCGUCUAGUGGUUAGGACACCAGGUUCUGAUUGGAGGGCGCGAAGUUCCCCAAGCUGGAUUCUCCUGGUAACCCCGGUUCAAACCCGGGUGACAGGU